UACGUAGGGUCCGAGCGUUGUCCGGAAUUACUGGGCGUAAAGCGCACGUAGGCGGCUUCUUAAGUCGGUGGUGAAAUCCUGGAGCUCAACUCCAGAACUGCCUUCGAUACUGGGAAGCUCGAGUCCGGGAGAGGUGAGUGGAACUGCGAGUGUAGAGGUGAAAUUCGUAGAUAUUCGCAAGAACACCAGUGGCGAAGGCGGCUCACUGGCCCGGUACUGACGCUGAGGUGCGAAAGCGUGGG
rnacentral:rRNA from 1 species